GGGGAUUUAGCUCAGCGGCGUGAGCGCCUGCCUUGCAAGCAGGCAGUUGUGAGUUCGAACUCCGGUACCGA
rfam:Cavia porcellus supercont2_1 genomic scaffold, whole genome shotgun sequence.